rnacentral:rRNA from 1 species
GUGUCAGCCGCCGUGGUAAUACAGAGGGUGCGAGCGUUAAUCGGGUUUACUGGGCGUAAAGCGUGCGUAGGCGGCUUAUUAAGUCGGAUGUGAAAUCCCCGAGCUUAACUUGGGAAUUGCAUUGGUGACUGCACGGCUAGAGUGUGUCAGAGGGGGGUAGAAUUCCACGUGUAGCAGUGAAAUGCGUAGAGAUGUGGAGGAAUACCGAUGGCGAAGGCAGCCCCCUGGGAUAACACUGACGCUCAUGCACGAAAGCGUGGGGAGCAAACAGGAUUAGAUACCCGCGUAGUCC